AUGAACGCUAGCGGCAGGCUUAACACAUGCAAGUCGAGGGGCAGCAUGAGACGGAGAUUCGUCGAAGUCUUGAUGGCGACCGGCGCAAGGGUGCGUAACGCGUGAGCAACUUGCCCGUUUCUGGGGGAAUAACCGGUGGAAACGCCGACUAAUACCCCAUAGCAUAACAGAGAGGCAUCUCUUUGUUAUUAAAGAAUUUCGGAAACGGAUAGGCUCGCGUGACAUUAGCUAGAUGGCGGGGUAACGGCCCACCAUGGCGACGAUGUCUAGGGGUUCUGAGAGGAAGGUCCCCCACACUGGAACUGAGACACGGUCCAGACUCCUACGGGAGGCAGCAGUGAGGAAUAUUGGUCAAUGGUCGAGAGACUGAACCAGCCAUGCCGCGUGAAGGUCACGGCCCUAUGGGUCUUAAACUUCUUUUGUAAGGGAGCAAUAAGUCUCACGUGUGGGAUGAUGAGAGUACCUUACGAAUAAGCAUCGGCUAACUCCGUG
rnacentral:rRNA from 1 species